GGACGCUGCCCAUCGCUGCCCAUCCUAAGCAGCAGGUGGCUUUGUCUGGCUGGUGGGCAGAGUUGGAGUGGGUGCAGGAGGGGCACAGUCGAAUCCCACAGGGUCUGGUCAGUCACAUUGAGUCUGGGUUUUAUCCAGGGCAAUGUGGAGCCACGGAAGGACUGGGAGGCAGGCCAUGGUCGGGUGUGAAGAAGCCCUGGAGGCUGGUGGAGAUAGAGGGGAGCUGGAAGCCGGUGGAGAUAGAGGGAGCUGGAGGCCGUGGAGAUAGAGGGGAGCUGGAGGCCGGUGGAGAUAGAGGGGAGCUGGAGCCGGUGGAGAUAGAGGGGAGCUGGAGGCCGGUGGAGUCCUGGGUAUGGGCACUCGGACUGGGCAGCGGCAGGGGCGUGGCAAGAAGGGGAGCAGAGCAGAGAGGACACCUGACUGUGUCUGCCAGACCCGUUCCCCAGAGGACGCUGCCCUCCCGAGGAACCUCCCUCCUCUCUCCACCCACGGGGGCGGGCGCAUUCCUGGCUGGCACCUCGGGGGAUUUAGGAUUUCUUCCUAACGCGCUCUCAGUCAGUCACCUGGGCUGUGCGUGAGUUCACAUCUUCAGGAGCUGGGGACUACGAGGCAUCACAAAAGCGGCCACGAGAGGCAGGUAAAGGCCCCCAGAGUCUUCACCAUCGUCCGCCUCAGAAAAUCACUUGUCUGACGCUCAGGCGGAGCCCAGCAAACACCCCGACCCCCUGAAGGUGCCACGAGGAAAGGAGUGUCCUCAGAGCGCUUCCGGGGGAGCCAGCCCUAUGAAGCCCUCCACGUUCACCAGGAGUUCAUCGCAGCUGCAGCCAGGCUGGGAAGGAGAGGUGGCCGCAGGCAGGCAGCGUGUCUGUUCCGGAUGCAAACCGCAGCCCCAGCCCCGCCCACUGGAGCCCUCUCUGGCACUGGGUGGACAAAGCUGCAGUGCGCAGGCCAGGGAAGGCCGAGGAGCCGCCCAGGCGGCCGGGGAAAGGGGACCACCCACUCGGCAGGAGCUCCCUGAGCCAGCUCAGUGGAUGGAGCAAACUGACUUGGAAAUCAAAGUGAUGCCCAGACGGAGCAAGAGACAGCCCCGGACCAGCCCCCGGGCCACACCCGCGCGCCAGCCAGGACCAGGCCCCGCGGAGGCUCGCUGGGAAGCUGGCGCUGUGUUGUUUCCCCCGCCAGCUGCUUGCUUCCUCCCGGGCUCACUGGAGUGCAACUGCUUUCGCUUGUUUGAAAUGGAAAUUUUUUCGUCUCUUUAUACUUAUUGUCACUUGUAUUUUUCUCCCCAGAAAUGGGGAUUUGGACGUGAAGGC
rnacentral:lncRNA from 1 species